AAUCAACGCUGGCGGCGUGCCUAACACAUGCAAGUCGAACGAGAAGGUGACUUCGGUCACUGGAUAGUGGCGUCCGGGUGAGUAACACGUAGGUAAUCUACCUUCGGGUGGGGAAUAACGUCUCGAAAGAGACGCUAAUACCGCAUAAUGCAGCGGCACCUAAUGGUGAUUAGUUGUUAAAGCGGGGGAGUCUUCGGACCUCGCGCCUGAAGAGGAGCCUGCGGCAGAUUAGCUAGUUGGUGAGGUAAUGGCUCACCAAGGCUUCGAUCUGUAGCUGGUCUGAGAGGACGGCCAGCCACACUGGCACUGACACACGGGCCAGACUCCUACGGGAGGCAGCAGUGGGGAA
rnacentral:rRNA from 1 species